CAUGAUGAGAAGUCUAUAAAAAUUGUGUGCUACCAAAGAUCUGUCUUAUUUGGCAGCUGCUGCCUCACCCACAACUUUUGAUAUCUAGGAGGACUCUUCUCUCCCAAACUACCUGUCACCAUGGCCCACCGAUUUCCAGCCCUCACCCAGGAGCAGAAGAAGGAGCUCUCAGAAAUUGCCCAGAGCAUUGUUGCCAAUGGAAAGGGGAUCCUGGCUGCAGAUGAAUCUGUAGGUACCAUGGGGAACCGCCUGCAGAGGAUCAAGGUGGAAAACACUGAAGAGAACCGCCGGCAGUUCCGAGAAAUCCUCUUCUCUGUGGACAGUUCCAUCAACCAGAGCAUCGGGGGUGUGAUCCUUUUCCACGAGACCCUCUACCAGAAGGACAGCCAGGGAAAGCUGUUCAGAAACAUCCUCAAGGAAAAGGGGAUCGUGGUGGGAAUCAAGUUAGACCAAGGAGGUGCUCCUCUUGCAGGAACAAACAAAGAAACCACCAUUCAAGGGCUUGAUGGCCUCUCAGAGCGCUGUGCUCAGUACAAGAAAGAUGGUGUUGACUUUGGGAAGUGGCGUGCUGUGCUGAGGAUUGCCGACCAGUGUCCAUCCAGCCUCGCUAUCCAGGAAAACGCCAACGCCCUGGCUCGCUACGCCAGCAUCUGUCAGCAGAAUGGACUGGUACCUAUUGUUGAACCAGAGGUAAUUCCUGAUGGAGACCAUGACCUGGAACACUGCCAGUAUGUUACUGAGAAGGUCCUGGCUGCUGUCUACAAGGCCCUGAAUGACCAUCAUGUUUACCUGGAGGGCACCCUGCUAAAGCCCAACAUGGUGACUGCUGGACAUGCCUGCACCAAGAAGUAUACUCCGGAACAAGUGGCUAUGGCCACCGUAACAGCUCUCCACCGUACUGUUCCUGCAGCUGUUCCUGGCAUCUGCUUUUUGUCUGGUGGCAUGAGUGAAGAGGAUGCCACUCUCAACCUCAAUGCUAUCAACCUUUGCCCUCUACCAAAGCCCUGGAAACUAAGUUUCUCUUAUGGACGGGCCCUGCAGGCCAGUGCACUGGCUGCCUGGGGUGGCAAGGCUGCAAACAAGGAGGCAACCCAGGAGGCUUUUAUGAAGCGGGCCGUGGUAAGAUGCUGCCACCUCUUAUCUACUUGAUGAUGUUCACAUUUGGGGCUUGACUUUCCAACACGGAGAAGCAUUGUUUUCUUCGGGCCAAGAAGGCUAACUGCCAGGCGGCCAAAGGACAGUAUGUUCACACGGGUUCUUCUGGGGCUGCUUCCACCCAGUCGCUCUUCACAGCCUGCUAUACCUACUAGGGUCCAAUGCCCGCCAGCCUAGCUCCAGUGCUUCUAGUAGGAGGGCUGAAAGGGAGCAACUUUUCCUCCAAUCCUGGAAAUUCAACACAAUUAGAUUUGAACUGCUGGAAAUACAACACAUGUUAAAUCUUAAGUACAAGGGGGAAAAAAUAAAUCAGUUAUUGAAACAUAAAAAUGAAUACCAAGGACCUGAUCAAAUUUCACACAGCAGUUUCCUUGCAACACUUUCAGCUCCCCAUGCUCCAGAAUACCCACCCAAGAAAAUAAUAGGCUUUAAAACAAUAUCGGCUCCUCAUCCAAAGAACAACUGCUGAUUGAAACACCUCAUUAGCUGACUGUAGAGAAGUGCAUCUUAUGAAACAAUCUUAGCAGUGGUAGGUUGGGAAGGAGAUAGCUGCAACCAAAAAAGGAAUAAAUAUUCUAUAAACCUUCA